UUCAUUUUACCACCUUUAUACGAACAAAUACAUUAGAAAUAUGUCACCAUAUAAAUCACCAAAUAUAUAACUUUCUGUAUAAAUAGUAUAGAGUAAAUAACCUAACUACUACAACUAACAAUGACUAAUCGUAAAAUAAAAACAGUUACAAAUACAUACUUAUGAAGAUAAAAGAGUUACUAUCUUAAUACAAAUAUGAAACAAGAAGAAAAAAGUGACACUGGAUAGGUAAACAGGUGACCUAAAGUAAUCACUAGAUACAUAACUACAAUAAUAAAAUUAAAAUUAUAAAAACUUACACAUUAUUUUUUCAUAAACCAAUAACUCACAUUUCUCAAACUUAUAACUAAACAAGUUCGAUACAAACUCUUGACUCAUGUAGAAGAAUACUCACUCCCAUAUUCUUCUCCAACUCACUUUCAUGGUUAUGUGAGAAUCUUGCAUUCAAACAUGAAUCAUCUUCAUCAGUGUCAAAGGAUGUAGAAGAAACAAAUGAAUCUUGGUGUUCAAUUUUUUUUGUUCUUAUUAGGAAAGAUAGAAGAAGUACGAGAGAAGCCAUAAGCAUAAAGAAUGAAACUAUUAUAGGUUUAACUUAAUUUGAAAUGGAAAGUUCAAUGUGUUUAAAUAAGGUUAUGGCUAUAUAUGUGUUGAGAAAUUAAUGAUGCAUAGAAAAAGACAAGUUGUUGCAUAUUUAGUUUUUCUUGUGGGUUUCAUUAUUAGUAGAGAAAAUUUGGCUAUGGUGUUGCCAAAGUAGUUGUGGUUGU
rnacentral:lncRNA from 1 species